UACGGGGGGGGCAAGCGUUGUUCGGAAUUACUGGGCGUAAAGCGCACGUAGGCGGCCUCGCAAGUCUGAUGUGAAAUCCCUCGGCUCAACCGAGGACGUGCAUCGGAAACUGCGGGGCUUGAGUACUGAAGAGGAUCGCGGAAUUCCCGGUGUAGAGGUGAAAUUCGUAGAUAUCGGGAGGAACACCAGUGGCGAAGGCGGCGAUCUGGGCAGAUACUGACGCUGAGGUGCGAAAGCGUGGGGAGCAAACAGG
rnacentral:rRNA from 1 species